rnacentral:rRNA from 1 species
CUCGUAGGCGGUUCGUCGCGUCCGGUGUGAAAGUCCAUCGCUUAACGGUGGAUCCGCGCCGGGUACGGGCGGGCUUGAGUGCGGUAGGGGAGACUGGAAUUCCCGGUGUAACGGUGGAAUGUGUAGAUAUCGGGAAGAACACCAAUGGCGAAGGCGGGUCUCUGGGCCGUUACUGACGCUGAGGAGCGAAAGCAUGGGGAGCGAACA